UGGACAGAAAGACCCUAUGAAGCUUUACUGUAACUUGAAAUUGAAAUUGGACUUUAUUCGCGCAGCAUAGGUGGGAGGCGUUGAUUAUAAUCUCGUGGGAUUAUUGGAGCCAUCAGUGAGAUACCACUCUUGUAAUGUUAGAUUUCUAACUUUGAAUCAUUAUCUGGCCAAAGAACAGUUUCAGGCGGGCAGUUUGACUGGGGCGGUCGCCUCCUAAACGGUAACGGAGGCGUACAAAGGUUUCCUCUGAACGGUUAGAAAUCGUAUCUAGAGUGUAAAGGCAUAAGGAAGCUUGACUGUGAGACCUACAAGUCGAGCAGGGACGAAAGUCGGUCUUAGUGAUCUGACGGUACUGAGUGGAAAGGCCGUCACUCAACGGAUAAAAGUUACUCUAGGGAUAACAGGCU
rnacentral:rRNA from 1 species